GGCGCGCCGCGCUCCGGCCGGUCGGUGCGGGAGGACGCGCGGCCGCGCCUGCCUCGGUGGCCGCGCCGGGUGGGAGCACUGCGGAGCGCUCAAGCCAUGGUGGCCAAACAGCGGAUCCGGAUGGCUAAUGAGAAGCACAGCAAAAACAUCACCCAGAGGGGGAACGUAGCCAAAACCCUGAGGCCACAAGAAGAGAAAUAUCCUGUAGGACCAUGGCUGUUGGCACUGUUUGUUUUUGUUGUCUGUGGCUCAGGUCAACCACAUAAACACUGGCCUUUCCUGGAGACUGCCAGAACUUUCUCGAAACUGUGACACCCAGAGGGGUCACUCCCCCCAACACAUGCUGAGACUGGCACGUGGGAUGUCUGAGGAAUUGGACGGCCCUGGAGGAGAGGCUGAGGCCGUGCACCUGCUCUGGAGCUCCUUCCUCAGGAUCUGAGAUGGACAGUCUGGAGAAGACGUCUCAUCAGCCAUCGGCUCCCUCAAGCUAUCUUUCAGAUCAUUCAGAGCAUAAGGAUGGGCAUGUGAGAAGGCUGGGGAAGGCCAGGGCUUUGAUUCAGCCAGUACCUGCAAGAAGCAAAAAGGCGGCAAGGAAUAGAAAAAAGCCUCAUUCUGUUGUUCCCUGAUCACGUCAUCUUGGAUGUCAGACCAAAUUGCCUUCUCACAGGACACCUUGGUGCAUCCGUGUCCUCAAGAGGAAAGGACAUUUUGCUUUUCUGUUGGCCGGAUUGGUAGCCAUGUGGGUCGUCUGUCUUUUUGGUUUCCCCUUGGUUCACUAAUGUAUGCAUGUCGCCCUCUGAAUGAUCGCUGGUUUACUUUCUACGGAUACGGUCUCUCCUCCACUGGGAAUUGGUUUUACAAAUAAAUGUCUUCGUUCAACCUUA